GAUGAAGAACGUAGCGAAAUGCGAUAAGUAAUGUGAAUUGCAGAAUUCAGUGAAUCAUCGAAUCUUUGAACGCACAUUGCGCCCCCUGGUAUUCCGGGGGGCAUGCCUGUCCGAGCGUCAUUACAACCCUCAAGCUCAGCUUGGUGUUGGGCCCCGCCGCCCCGGCGGGCCCUAAAGUCAGUGGCGGUGCCGUCCGGCUCCGAGCGUAGUAAUUCUUCUCGCUCUGGAGGUCCGGUCGUGUGCUCGCCAGCAACCCCCAAUGUUUUUCAGGUUGACCUCGGAUCAGGUAGGGAUACCCGCUGAACUUAAGCAUAUCAUAAGCGGAGGA
rnacentral:misc_RNA from 1 species